AGUGAAUUUAUGGAGGCGGGCAAAGUGGCGCAGGUUUUUGAAGGCAGUUUUCAGUCUUGAGGUGAGCGUUGGUUGCCCUUCUGUCACUGGCAUGGACACGAGUCUUUGGUCGAGUGCUUAACGUCAUUGCCUCUAACACGAUGGCGGGUGUGGCGCUUUUCACUUUCAGUUCCAUGAUUUUUCCCUAACGCGGUGGCCUGUCACGUGGUACGCGAGUGUGCGAAGCGCCAUUGGACGAGCAGGCGAGGAAGAUUUGAAUAGGCGGAUGUGACGUCAUGAAUCGGGGAUGGUUUCUCAGGGAAGCUAGCAUGCUAGUAAAUGUUUGUCGUUCAUUGGCGGUGAGAACUCACGACGGACGCCGUGUUUGUUUGUUGCGGGAUCCAAGGCGAGUUCUCAAAUGCAGACCGGUUUCUCGGGAUUCAAUGGGAGUUAUGAAAGACAGGCGCCACCGACCGUGUGGCGGUUUCUUGGGAUUCAAGGGGAGUUAUGAAAUACAGGCGCCACCGACCGUGUGGCGGUUUCUCGGGUUUUUUGUAUGAAACCAGUGAGCAGAGUGACGCACGCCGGUGAGAAGUCACACCAUCGAACUCCCUGACGCAGAGCUGUGCUUUACCAUUAGCCAGACCAGGCAACUGCCUGGGGCAAGGCCACUAGGGGGUUCUCUUAUUUAUCCAUUUUUACAUUUGGCAUUUGUCCCUUAUAUUUUUGCACUCUCAUACGCUGCUGUGACAAGUAAAUUCUCCUGUUGUGGAAUAAAGUUCUAUCUAUCAA